UACAGAGGGUGCAAGCGUUAAUCGGAGUUACUGGGCGUAAAGGGUGCGUAGGUGGGUGAUUAAGUUGGAUGUGAAAUCCCUGGGCUUAACCUGGGAAGGUCAUUCGAUACUGGUCAUCUAGAGUACUGUAGAGGGUAGUGGAAUUUCCGGUGUAGCGGUGAAAUGCGUAGAGAUCGGAAGGAACAUCAGUGGCGAAGGCGGCUACCUGGACAGAUACUGACACUGAGGCACGAAAGCGUGGGGAGCGAACAGG
rnacentral:rRNA from 1 species